AAAAAAACAUUCCAGAUAUCCACUAUAGUCAUAUUUAACAGGAUAAAUGGUGCAACUUCCACCAUUGUAUGUGGGAUUUCACAGUUCAGCUGCAGUUA